UACAGAGGGUGCAAGCGUUAAUCGGAAUUACUGGGCGUAAAGCGUGCGUAGACGGUUAUGUAAGUCAGAUGUGAAAGCCCCGGGCUCAACCUGGGAAUUGCAUUUGAGACUGCAUAGCUAGGGUGCGGAAGAGGGAAGCGGAAUUUCCGGUGUAGCGGUGAAAUGCGUAGAUAUCGAGAGGAACACCAGUGGCGAAGGCGAGUCCCUGGACAACACCUGACACUGAGGCACGAAAGCUAGGGGAGCAAACAGG
rnacentral:rRNA from 1 species